rnacentral:snoRNA from 1 species
UAGGCCUUACUUCAUAGGAUCAUUUCUAUAGUAAGUUCUUCACGAGACCUUCACAACAUGUGAGGCUACACUAAUUAAG